rnacentral:tRNA from 1 species
CCGAAAAUGUGGGUUUAAAUCCCUCCUAUACUA